GUAGAAUCUACCAGACACCUUAGAAAAGACAUCACAGAACAGGACAUAGAGAACAGAGGCCAACAGUCGGGGCUGGUGUGUAAAGAGGAAUGGGGGAUCCACGGAUACAGGACAGAGGGUAGAAAAGGGAGGCACCCCCAGAGCAUCCAAGGGAUCGCUGUAUCAGGAGUGAGAGCUGAGCAGAAAGGUAAACUGGGUGGUGCAGCGUCUCCGCAUCCAUUGAUCCCCGAGCGCUGUCUUGUUUCCUUUACCCAACAGUUGAGCAGAUGGGUGCUGAGGCUUAGCCGGGCGAGCAGGUCACACAGCCUGUGUAUGAGUUGUGCAGCUGCAAUUCUCUCUGCUGCUGCUGCAGGGGAGCCCACACAGUCACCCCACACUAGGGGUACAGGAGCUAUGCGUGUUGCAGAUCUUGCCUGGAGAGCCCAGGAUCGACGGCUGUUUAUCCCGCUGGCUCUUGUCUCC
rnacentral:lncRNA from 1 species